rnacentral:rRNA from 1 species
AGCGAACGCUGGCGGCAGGCUUAACACAUGCAAGUCGAGCGCCCCGCAAGGGGAGCGGCAGACGGGUGAGUAACACGUGGGAACGUGCCUUUUGGUUCGGAACAACUCAGGGAAACUUGGGCUAAUACCGGAUAAGCCCUUACGGGGAAAGAUUUAUCGCCAAAAGAUCGGCCCGCGUCUGAUUAGCUAGUUGGUGGGGUAAUGGCCCACCAAGGCUGCGAUCAGUAGCUGGUCUGAGAGGAUGAUCAGCCACAUUGGGACUGAGACACGGCCCAAACUCCUACGGGAGGCAGCAGUGGGGAAUAUUGGACAAUGGGGGCAACCCUGAUCCAGCCAUGCCGCGUGAGUGAUGAAGGCCUUAGGGUUGUAAAGCUCUUUUAGCAGGGAAGAUAAUGACGGUACCUGCAGAAAAAGCCCCGGCUAACUUCGUGCCAGCAGCCGCCGUAA